rnacentral:rRNA from 1 species
CUCCUACGGGGGGCAGCAGUGGGGAAUAUUGCGCAAUGGGGGAAACCCUGACGCAGCAACGCCGCGUGCGGGAUGAAGGCUUUCGGGUUGUAAACCGCUUUCAGCAGGGAUGACUUCGACAGUACCUGCAGAAGAAGCCCCGGCUAACUACGUGCCAGCAGCCGCGGUAAUACGUAGGGGGCGAGCGUUAUCCGGAUUCAUUGGGCGUAAAGCGCGCGCAGGCGGACUCAUAAGCGGAGCCUUUAAUCUUGGGGCUUAACCUCAAGUCGGGCCCCGAACUGUGAGUCUCGAGUGUGGUAGGGGAA